CAUGCACCACCAUGCCCAGCAAGAAAGCAAUUUUAAAAAGAACUCAUGCAAAAAUCUCAGAAUAAGUGGUCACUGCGAACAAGGUGACAUUCGCCUGGUUAUUGGACUUGUAUUGUCUAUGUAAAAGGAAACAUGAUCGCCAUGGGGACUCCUCAGCCUUGUCCUCUUCGGGCAUGGCUCAGUAUAGAAGAGUUUCUGGGUGCUCUAGAAAAAUGAAAAUGUUUGCAUUUGCAUCACAGAGAAGAGACUGGCUCAGCCAUAGACGUUCCCGCAAGAGGACUGUGGUCAAAGCUAAGGCCCGCAGGUAAAGCUUGCAGCCACUGGGCCGGAGGUGUGGCAGCUGAACCGGGGGCACCCAACAUCCGGCACAGUCCUGAGAACUCAGUCAGGACUCGGGGGUGUUUGCUGAAUUACGUAGGUAAAUACAAUAUCAAAUAUGAAAUAACUAAAACGAAUAAGGCCAAUACAUGAAAUCAAGGCAACAUUUUCAUUUCCGCGUAUGGGUUAUUUCCGGUUAUUUCCACAAGGAAAUUUGGAACAAGGAGAACAACGUAUGCUGCGGCCCUGGUGGGUGAGCUGAGACGCAGCGCGGCAACGCCUGUCCUCCGGAGUGGAUGCAGGUGGAGAGGAGGAGAUGGUCCCCAGUCCUGAUACAGUGUCAUAACGUGUGCUGUGGACCAGCUGGGAAGGCAGGGUACGUGGCCCAACCCUACAUGUGGAAGAUACGUGGUAGAACCAGGAUGAUGGAUUGAAAGGAACAUCUAGAACAGGGAAGAAACUCCCACAAACACUUCAGUUUAUGCUGGUGGAGGAGGAACAGGAAUAUGGGUAUGACUCACAAUCACUGCACCUAGGGAGAGCAAAAGCCCAUUUGUGCAUUCACCACUUGGCAGAUGAAUGGCAAGGUGUGUACAGGAAAUCCAAAGCAGAAACAGUGCACAUUGUACAAACUCCUGACAAAACAAGAAGACAAGAGAUGACAAAAAUAGCCUGCCACAUAGGAAAGGAAGCCUAAGCACAUGUGCCAUCAGUGUGAGACAUGUGCAUGGAGUGUGCAGUUGUCAUGUGUGAAGACUGCCCUUGGGUGUGGCAACUGAAGCAAAGUUUAUUUUUGUUGUAGAGUUUUGUUAGUAUUCUCAUUGCUGUUCAUAUAGAAAUUGAUUUCUGUUGUUAUUUUUUAGAUGUUAUACACCAAACGUAAAUGUUGAAA